rnacentral:rRNA from 1 species
AUGACACGAGUGAAUAAUACGUACUAUCUACUCCCAGAAGAACAUACACCUGAGCGCCCUGUGCCGAAUACAAACUACAUUGGCAAGGUCAUGUUCCUGACAGCCGUGGCCAAGACAAGAUAUAGUGAUGAUGGGGAGGUCAUAUUUGAUGGCAAGAUCGAGACUUGGGCCUUCGUCGAAGAGAAGGCGGCAGUCAGAACGAGUCAAAAUAGAGUUAGGGGAACUAAAGAACUGAAAAAUGUGAAAGUGAACAGAAAUGUGAUGAGGGAUUAUCUAUGCAACAAGGUGAUCCCUGCUAUACAAGACAAAUGGCCUGACGAAUAUAUUGGAAGAACCAUCUAUAUACAACAGGAUAAUGCCAAGCCACAUGUCCUGCCUAAUGACGUGGGUUUUCAAGAGGCUGUAGCACAAACGGAUCUUGAUAUUCGGUUGUUACAACACCACCCAACAACCCCGAUAUGA